UCUUGGAUUUGUAGGUAUCUUUCUCUCUGCACUUAUUCCCUAUGCAUAGUUUGGGAGUUAACUCAAGUCCCAUCUCUUCCACAAAGCCUUCUCUAGGAACUCUGUAAUGACAUCUUUCUUCACCAAGUGAACAAACUACUUAUUUGACGCUAACCAUAAAGACUAAUAGAGUUUAGGAAAGGAUGGGAUAACCUUGUAUGACCCCCUAUUUGGGAGAAACUAAAGUCAGAAAAUUUUCUGUGACCUGCCAGAGGUCAUACCACUACUCUGUGACAGAGAAGUCCUGGAAACAAGGACUCCUUUUUCCUAGAUAGGGCAGGUUACAGGUACAAGGCUCUCACUCUUUGGAAGACGAACGCAUGCCUUUCACUUCUUUGCAGCCUCCUAAAUGUCCAGCACAGUACUGAAAGUAAAGUGUUAGUUGCUCAGUCACGUCUGACUCUUUGCAACCCCAUGGACUAUAGCCUGCCAGGCUCCUCUGUCCAUGGAAUUCCCCAGGCAAGAAUACUAGAGUGGGUUACCAUUCCCUUCUCCAGGGAAUCUUCCUGACCCAGGGAUCAAACCCAGGUUUCCCGCAUUGUAGGCAGAUUCUUCAUCAUCAGAGCCACCAGGGAAGCCCCAGCACAGUAUUAGGUAAAUACUCAACAAAUGGGAAUAAGAUGGAAGGAGAAAGAGAUAAAAAGUGGGAAAGAAGAAGGGAGAGAACAAAGACUGUCUGGCUAAACUGGGAAAGCUAAGACAUCCACAUAGAUCUUGGGCUGGCUGGGAGGCCAGGACCCACCACCAUGCCAGCCCUCUCCUGAGAAGAGGAGAGAAGGCCAGCACCUGGAUCCUACCUGGAGACCACAGGGACACCCUGUCCCGGCCUCGAGUGGCCGCCCACCUCCACCCGUACUGAGGGACUUUCCCCAACCUCCGGCUCCCUGUGUGGCUGGUGACUCAAAACUUCUCCUGUUGUCCAAGAGAGACCUUUUUUCAAAAACUGUAUUAGAUAGCCGGGCUGCCUGGUUUACUCUGCAAAGAACCUUGGGGGUUCAGAGGGGCUGGUCUCCCUGGGGUAACUCAGGAGAUGGUGGAAGAGAAGAUAGACACCCCCAGAGGAGACCUGCAUUCCUCAGCAAGGCCAGGACUUCACUGCUGCCCUCCCCCACCCACUGUCCUUUUGCUCAACCAGAACCUCAAUCGGUAGAUCAACCGACUGAGUUGAUCUACCAGUGGAUUCACUGUCAUGGACAUCCUGUAGGCAGAGGGUGUCCCAAUGCACUCAGAACCCUCUUCACUGCCCUCUGCAUGUUAGCAUCUGCUCCAUCAAGAGCCAUGUUGGCAGUUGUCAAGUGUGAUGAGAAAGCCCAGUGCUCUCUAAGACACGCUCUCUUUUCUGGACUCUCCCAGGAAGACAUGUCCCAGUGUCCCUGCAGCCAUGGGUGGUCAUGUGGCAGAACUCUGGGACACUAGAAUAUGGAGAAAGUGUGAAUCUGGCCUCGAACAUCCCUGGUGAGGACCUCCACGCCCACUGCCUCCCCUCCCAGCCAGAUGCAAAGGAUCCAGGGAGUACCCAGGACCCCUGAAAGAUGGUAGGGCCACUGGGGAGAAGCCUGGUUCCCUAAUCACCACAGAGACGGCCAACCUGCCAACACUCUGUUGGAUCAUGAUAUGUGGGAAAUAAAGUUUUAACUGAGUCCAGCCCACUGAGAUUUGGGAAUUGUUUGUUUACAACAGAGAAACUUCCUACCUUUCAAGCUGAAGCUCAAUUUAAUUUAAAGACUUGUAUUAGUCAAGGUUCUCUGUAGAAACCAAACCAAUAGAACAGUGAGAGAGACAUUUUUUUUAAAUUGGCUCACACGAUUGUGGGAGCUGGCAAAUGCCAAAUCUGUAGGGCAGGCUGACAAGCUGGAAAUUCAGGUAAGAGUUGAUGUUGCAGCCUUGGGUCUGAAAUCCACAAAGCAAGCGAGCGGGCUGGAAGCUCAAGCAGCUUACCAUGCUGCAGUCGUUUUUAAAAAAUAAUCUUAUUUAUUUAUUUAUUUUGGCUGUGCUGGGUCUCCAUUGCUAUGAAGGCUGUUCUCUAGCUGCAGUGAGAAGGGCUUUUCUCUAGUUGCAGGGAGAGAGGGCUUUUCUCUAGUUGUGGUGCAGCGGGCUUCUCACUGCAGUGGCUCCUCUCGUUGCAGAGCACGGCCUCUAGGGUGCACGGGCUUCAGUAGUUGUGGCGAGUGAGUUCAGUUGUUCUGAUUCCUGGGCUCUCGAGCAGAGGCCCCAUAGUUGUGGCCACAGGCUUAGUUGAUCCACAGCAUGCGGGAUCAUCCCAGACCAGGGAUAGCACCCAUGUGUCCUGCCCUGGCAGGCGGAUUCUUUACCCCUGAGCCACCAGGGAAGCCCCACGCUGCAGUCUUGAGGCAGGAUUUAUCUUUCUUAGAGAAACCUCAGUCUUUGCUCUAAGGCCUUCAUCUGACUGAACGAGGCUCACCCAAUAAAGAGAGGGUAAUCUGUUUCACUCAAAAUCCCCUGAUUACAAUGUUAAUCACAUCUAACAAAUACCUUCACAGCAACUCCGAGACUCGUGUUUGACUACACAACUAGG
ensembl:lncRNA